GUGGAUUAGAUACCCUGGUAGUCCACGCCCUAAACGAUGUCAACUAGGUGUUGGGAGGGUUAAACCUUUUAGUACCGCAGCUAACGCGUGAAGUUGACCGCCUGGGGAGUACGGCCGCAAGGUUAAAACUCAAAGGAAUUGACGGGGACCCGCACAAGCGGUGGAUGAUGUGGAUUAAUUCGAUGCAACGCGAAAAACCUUACCUACCCUUGACAUGUCCAGGAGCCUGAAGAGAUUUGGGUGUGCUCGAAAGAGAACUGGAACACAGGUGCUGCAUGGCCGUCGUCAGCU
rnacentral:rRNA from 1 species